CUCAGAACGAACGCUGGUAGCGUGGAUUAGGCAUGCAAGUCGAACGGGAUCCAUGAAGUAGCAAUACGGACUGGUGAGAGUGGCGGAAGGGCGAGGAACACGUGGGCAACCCUGUCCAGGAGGUGGGGAAAACCCCGGAAAACUGGGGCUAAUACCGAAUGCGGCGCCGCAGCGCAUGCUGCGAGCGCCAAAGGGGGCGCAAGCUCCCCCUCACGAAGGGCCCGCGCACCAUCAGCUUGUUGGCGGGGUAACGGCCCACCAAGGCGUACGGUUAGCUGGUCUGAGAGGAUGGCCAGCCGCACUGGGACUGAGAUACUGCCCAGACUCCUACGGGAGGCUGCAGUCGAGGAUCAUUCGCAAUGGGGGAAACCCUGACGAUGCGACGCUGCCGUGGAGGACGAAGGCCCUCGGGUCGUAAACUCCUGUCAUGAAGGAAAAGGAGAGGGGCUCCAACACAGCCCUUAUUUGAUGGUACUUCAAGAGGAAGGGACGGCUAACUCUGUGCCAGCCGCGGC
rnacentral:rRNA from 1 species